AUCAUGGCAACAGGACUUUUAGAAGCACGUCCUCUGAAAGCCAUUUUCUGCCUGUGGUUGGAAAGGGACUGUGAGUCUUUCCUCAGGAAGUCAGUAGCCCUACCUGGUGAGGUGAUCAAGAGUUUGCUAGCACAAGAGAUGAAGCAACAAUGGCCAUGAGGGAUUCAAGGAUUAUGCGUCUCUGCACCCUACAAUACACCGACUGGCAGUUUCAUCAUUUGAAAGAAAAUCUUCAAGGUAAAGACAUUUACAAUGACACAAAAGCCUUUCAAAGGCAUCAUGGUCCUAAAGGGCUUUCCCCAAGGGACAGCACAGUGUGUUCCAGGCCCUGACAAGAGGUUUAAGACCUGUGACACAGUCUGAAGCUCUCCUGGCAUACUCUGAAGCUCUCCUGGCACCCUCCCCUUUAUGCUUCACAGGUGUUUCUCCUAAUAAAUUUCUUGUAUGUCUCAUCCC
rnacentral:lncRNA from 1 species